UGCCAGCAGCCGCGGUAAUACGGAGGGUGCAAGCGUUGUUCGGAUUUAUUGGGCGUAAAGCGCACGUAGGCGGUUUGAUAAGUCGGAUGUGAAAGCCCUAGGCUUAACCUGGGAAUUGCAUUCGAUACUGGCUAACUAGAGUGCGAGAGAGGGAGGUAGAAUUCCACGUGUAGCGGUGAAAUGCGUAGAUAUGUGGAGGAAUACCGGUGGCGAAGGCGGCCUCCUGGCUCGACACUGACGCUGAGGUGCGAAAGCGUGGGGAGCAAACAGGAUUAGAUA
rnacentral:rRNA from 1 species